rnacentral:rRNA from 1 species
UAGGGAAUCUUCGGCAAUGGGGGGAACCCUGACCGAGCAACGCCGCGUGAGUGAAGAAGGUUUUCGGAUCGUAAAGCUCUGUUGUUAAGGAAGAACGAGUGUGAGAAUGGAAAGUUCAUGCUAUGACGGUACUUAACCAGAAAGGGACGGCUAACUACGUGCCAGCAGCCGCGGUAAUACGUAGGUCCCGAGCGUUGUCCGGAUUUAUUGGGUGUAAAGCGAGCGCAGGCGGUUAGAAAAGUCUGAAGUGAAAGGCAGUGGCUCAACCAUUGUAGGCUUUGGAAACUGUUUAACUUGAGUGCAGAAGGGGAGAGUGGAAUUCCAUGUGUAGCGGUGAAAUGCGUAGAUAUAUGGAGGAACACCGGUGGCGAAAGCGGCUCUCUGGUCUGUAACUGACGCUGAGGCUCGAAAGCGUGGGGAGCGAACAGG